rnacentral:rRNA from 1 species
AUUGAACGCUGGCGGCAGGCCUAACACAUGCAAGUCGAGCGAACGGCGGACGGGUGAGUAAUGUCUGGGAAACUGCCUGAUAGAGGGGGAUAACUCCUGGAAACGGUAGCUCAUACCGCAUACCCUCAGAUGUGCCCAGAUGGGAUUAGCUGGUAGGUUGGGGAACGGCUCCCCUAGGCGACGAUCCCUAGCUGGUCUGAGAGGAUGACCAGCCACCCUGGAACUGAUACACGGUCCAGACUCCUACGGGAGGCAGCAGUGGGGAAGAUUGCACAAGGGGCGCAAGCCUGAUGCAGCCAUGCCGCGUGUGUGAAGAAGGCCUUCGGGUUGUAAAGCACUUUCAGCGGGGAGGCGUUACCCGCAGAAGAAGCACCGGCUAACUCCGUGCCAGCAGCCGCUGUAAUAC